CCUGAGAGUUUCCAGUUUACAGUGUGGACUCUUCAGUCCAACAGAAAGCCGCUUCAGUCCUGAAUCCUGCAGGUUGUUGUUACUCAGGUCCAGCUCUCUCAGAUGGGAGGGGUUGGAGCUCAGAGCUGAGACCAGAGAAGCACAACCUUCCUCUGUGAUCAGGCAGCCUGACAGCCUGCAAACACACAAAACAACACAUUACAUAAUAAACAUGUUCAAGGAAAGAGACUCAAACUAAAUAAACAAAAC